AGACUACAUGGUAGGGGAGAUACCAUGAUGAUGAAAGUGGUUUUCCCAGGGCAAGACUUAUCCAUUGCACUCCAGGUAUGCUGACCCCAGCGAUUUCCCCAAAUGUGGGAAAUGCGACUGCAUACUUUCUGGUAGUGGGGGACUGUGUUUGCACUCUCCCCUG
rnacentral:snRNA from 1 species